GCCGAGGUAGCUCAGCUUGGUAGUAGCACACGACUGAAAAUCGUGGUGUCGCCAGUUCAAAUCUGGCCCUCGGCA
rnacentral:tRNA from 1 species